AUGUUCCAUUUAUCUUCUGUGUUUGAAGGCAUUGCUACUAACAAAACCUUUGGUUAUUGUGAUCACUGGAUUCCUUUAAAUGUUCAGAAGAAACCACUGGAGACCUUCCUGUUCCCUUUUCCCAGCAGCUACUUGUUAAAGGUGUUUAAAGCUUCCAGCAACCAGAUGCACUUCAUGGCGAUAGAUAAAGAAAUUCCCAUGCGCCAGGAGUUAAAUAGUCCAACAAGUUAGAGCAUUGUCUACAAUUUCAAGAUGCUCUCGGAGGAAGUAAACAAGCAGACAUGCAGACAUGAAAAUAAGAACCCUCUUCUUCCCCUCCUUCCAUGUGACUGCAGAGGCAUAUGACUUCCAUAACUUCAUCGCUUAUUAACCGCUGAUGGGAGGACACAAUUGAAUGAGUGUUUGUAGAACUUGCCCUAGAUAUUUAGAUCUCAGUCCUUGGCUGUGGCUGUUGGGCAGAUCUUCUCCUGUUUCAGAUAUCUUCACCCUGCCUGACAACAGACCGUGAGGAACUUCACAUGAGAGUCCCAUGUAAGGAGUGAACUAUGGGAUACAAAGGCCAGUUAUGAUCAUUUAAAUCCUUUAGCAAGCACCACAGAAAAACAAAAGACAGAUUAGCAUGAUUUACCAUGCCGGUGUUAUUAAAUUACAUCAUCUAGCCUACAUAUGAGCCAACACAACUGAUAUACAGACAGUGUGCAGAUGUGCGCAGACAGUGGAAUAUCUAUAUGUAAGCACUGUGUAUUCUUUGUCUAUUAAUGAUUUGGUACACCAGGCUUUGUAAGGUCUUGAACAGAGCUAGUAUUGAUAAGACCAAAAAUACAUAUAGGAAAUAGGCCUAGGCUAUCUUUAAAAAACAAUCUUCACUAUUAGCAUUAAGGCUACCCUUACGAAAAAGAAGUUUAUUCAAGUGUGCUAUUAGUAUACUUCUUUUAAACUAAAAAUAGGAAAGUAUGCUUUUAGUUUACUUUUUAUGUACUUCUCAGAAAUGGGCUUUAUGUACUUCUCAGAAAUAUACUUAAAAUGACAUUUAAGUAUACUUGACUUAUACUUACAAAACGUCUAAAUAUACUUGAACUUUACUUAAGUAUACUUAAUAAAAUAAACUUGAAGUAUACUACUUUUUGGUAA
ensembl:lncRNA